CGUACACUCCUGCGGGAGGCAGCAGUGGGGAAUAUUGGACAAUGGGCGCAAGCCUGAUCCAGCCAUGCCGCGUGAGUGAUGAAGGCCCUAGGGUUGUAAAGCUCUUUCACCGGUGAAGAUAAUGACGGUAACCGGAGAAGAAGCCCCGGCUAACUUCGUGCCAGCAGCCGCGGUAAUACGAAGGGGGCUAGCGUUGUUCGGAUUUACUGGGCGUAAAGCGCACGUAGGCGGACUAUUAAGUCAGGGGUGAAAUCCCGGGGCUCAACCCCGGAACUGCCUUUGAUACUGGUAGUCUUGAGUUCGAGAGAGGUGAGUGGAAUUCCGAGUGUAGAGGUGAAAUUCGUAGAUAUUCGGAGGAACACCAGUGGCGAAGGCGGCUCACUGGCUCGAUACUGACGCUGAGGUGCGAAAGCGUGGGGAGCAAACAGGAUUAGAAACCCCAGUAGUCCCAUGA
rnacentral:rRNA from 1 species